rnacentral:rRNA from 1 species
CCCGUUCCCAUACCGAACACGGAAGUUAAGCUCUCUAGCGCCGAUGGUAGUUGGGACCUUGUCCCUGUGAGAGUAGGGCGUCGCCAAGC